rnacentral:lncRNA from 1 species
UCUACCUUUAGGAAAAAUGCGCUAUGGAUUUGAUAUUUCAGAAGAAUAGUGGAUUUGAAGAUAGACUAAAUCAAUGUCAAGGAAGAUAUGAAUGAGAUGUGUGAUUGGACUGUUGAGAUGUUCUCAAGGGACAUUACUUACUGCAAAUUUGCCAAAAACCGAGUUCUAUACAUACAAAUCCGAAGCUCGAGCUUUGCUCAAACGGAAUGCAGAUAAAAGGUCUUUGAUUGUUCAUAACUAAGUUUAAAUUCUCCAUAGAAGCUUUUUUUUUUGUAACCGAACCGGAGCGGGCUGAACCGGACCGGAAUACUGAACCGUAAGUAGGUGACGUGAAGAUGAAGUUUAGUUUAUUUCUAUUUUAUUGUUAUUUGUUUUAAGUCUUUCACCAAAAAAGUCUUUGUUCUAC